rnacentral:tRNA from 1 species
AUUCAAAUAGCUUAUUAUAGAGUAUAAUAUUGAAGAUAUUAGGGAGAUUAGUAAAUCUUUGAAUA